GGCCCAGUGGCGGACGGUCUGCGUCUGCGUCCCAUGCAUCGGGGUCAAUGAAGUCAGCAGGAGCGCUCGUUCGACUCGAGCCUGGGCCA